rnacentral:rRNA from 1 species
ACAUGUACGUGGUACGGAUAUGAAGUGAAGGACUCCGCUUCGGUGGAGAGCGUACACAGGUGCUGCAUGGCUGUCGUCAGCUCGUGUCGUGAGAUGUUGGGUUAGGUCCCGCAACGAGCGCAACCCCUGCAUUCAGUUGCCAUCGGGUGAAGCCGGGCACUCUGGAAGGACUGCCAUCGACAAGAUGGAGGAAGUGGGGACGACGUCAAGUCAUCAUGGCCCUUAUGUCCAGGGCGACACACGUGCUACAAUGGCCGGCACAACGGGAAGCGAGUUCGCGAGGACGAGCGGAUCCCUUAAAGCCGGUCGCAGUUCGGAUUGAAGUCUGCAACUCGACUUCAUGAAGCUGGAAUCGCUAGUAAUCGCAGAUCAGCCAAGCUGCGGUGAAUACGUUCCCGGGCCUU